GCCGAUGUAGCUCAGUUGGUAGAGCAACGCACUCGUAACGCGUAGGUCGUCUGUUCGAUUCAGAUCAUCGGCACCA
rnacentral:tRNA from 1 species